rnacentral:lncRNA from 1 species
CUGGCCAUGCCGGAGCCGGCGGCGCCGCCGCCACAGCCCGCCGCCUCCGGGUGGUCCCGGAGGUAACCCUCCAGGAGGUCGAACGACACCUGGUUCUCGGCGAGGCCCAUCUGUAUGACGCCGCCCGGGUUGGACACGGCGUCGUAGGGGUUCUCGUCGUAGGCCUUCCACCCGGCGAAGUACGGCGAGUCCUCGCCGUGGAGGCCGGAGGUCGCCACCUUCGACAGGGGCGCCGCCGCCGCCCCGUGGCUGGCAUCGAGCAACAGCUUGCCACCCAUGGCCUUUGCAAGCGAGUGCAAGAAGACUCUUCGAUCUGAUGGCGCUUGCAAAGGGAAUUUGCAGUGCAGAGUUGCAGUGGCAGUUCAAGAACGAAAUGAGCAGACAAGGCAGGGGAGGACUGGGCAAGCUGUGAUGAUCCGGC